CCCUCGUCCAAAAGAUCGCUAUUCGAAGCAUGAAAACACGGAGAAGGUGCUCGCACCGUCUCAACCAAUCCUCUGCUUUGGGGAAAGUCCCCGGACACACUUCUUGCGGAAACGCGCCGCCAUAGAAGCACUGCGGCUCAUCCCUGCUUGCUGUCUCUCGCGCCCACCUUGAACCGUUCUCUCCGCCCUCGUGGCGGCCAUCCUGCCUUUUCGGGACCGGUUUUGUGCACCUGUGCCAGACGCGCCCUCUCCGCCGCCGCUCCCCGUUGCCCUCAAUGGACGAAGAUAUGAGUCCGCGCUUCGGGACGGUGGUUGGGCAAUCUGGUCCGGUCUGAUCCUGGCUCCUUGGUAGGCAUGGAGGAUUGGUCAAGGCGGGCCCACGGGACGUUCAAGCCUGGCAUGGGAGCAUUUCGUCAGUUUCAUUCCACAACCACAGUUAUGCGAUCGAGCCACGUUCUGGUCUGUCAGUACUCCCCUCGGGAGGAAAGCUUGCCGGGUGUGGUUUUACACGAUGGGGCUUACUCUUGGUACGAGG
rnacentral:RNase_MRP_RNA from 2 species